UUCUCUGUCUUACAUGUCGUUGGUCAUUUUGAGUUUGGUUGUACAUCGUUGAAUGUUCCUUUAACAUUACUGGAGAAACUGCAAGAUGAUAUUCAUGUAAGCGCCAACGGCUCUGUUUUUGUAAAAUCUAACAUAAGACGAGGAAUUUAACCCAGAAUGUUAGAGGAGAUAUUAUACACACGUAUUAUGGUAAAGAAAGCUAUGAAAGUUUGUAAAGAUGAUAAAACUCUUCUUCA